GCCGUCUUAGCUCAGUUGGCAGAGCGGCGGUAUCGUAAACCGCAGGCCUCCGGUUCAAUCCCGGGAGACGGCU
rnacentral:tRNA from 1 species